CCUCACCGUCCUCCUGGGACCAUCACGGCCCAGAAAGUCCUGUCAGCUCAGCAGGGUCAAGCCAGGGAAGCUGCGCCUUCCAGAAAGGAGGGGGAAGAGGCCGAGCCUGGACUCUGGACCCGUGAGCCAGGCCCGAGCUGAGCCGCAGAUGCUGUCCAGCCACCUGAACCAGGUGGCCUGCGAGCCUUCCAUCUGUGAGCAGAGACCGGGUCAGAAGUCUCUCCUGCAGGCAGGCCUGCCCGCUGCACUGCAUGUUCAAGACCAGCUGUGACCAUCCUCGGAGCUUCAUGGGAAGCGCGCGCCGGAACCACUUUCCUCAGAGGAGCUGUGUGGACCUCCUCCUCGGCCUGCCUGUCGCACAUCCUUACAGCCCUCAGGGACAGAUAUUAUUAUCCCCAUCUUACAGGUGAGGAAACCGAGGCUCGGAGGCGGGUCACUCACCCAAGGCCACACAGCCUGGUGCAGGCCUGACAUCAGUUCAGCUGAGCUGAUGGCGCUGCAGACGCAAUAGCUGGCGUGGGCUGGGCCACACCGCACGCAGCCGGCGCUGGGCCGGGGGUGUUGCCUCCUUCUGGGGACCACCACCUACGGGCUGGGCCGUGAGAGCAAGUUCUCUGGCGUCUCGUAGCUCCAGUUUCUUCUGGAAAGACUGGAUGAGAUGCUGUGCACUGAGUGGUUAGCACGCGGCUAGAGACCUAGUCUACGUAACACCGCAGAGCAAAGUACAGAAGCCGUUGUCUGUCCUGGGCCUCUUUGUGGGGAAGAUGCCUCAACACGAGUUGGGAAGGGCCUUCAGGGCCGGGCUGUCUGCGGGGCCCGGUGCCACGGGGGGACUCUGUGAGACAGGACAAGGGAUUUGCUGCCCUCGGGGAGACCUGGGAGAGAAGGGAGUAGUGUGCAGAGAGGAGGCGGAAUGGGGUCAAAGGGGAAGGGGGCCCUCCAGUGAAGGCAG
rnacentral:lncRNA from 1 species